AGAGUUUGAUCCUGGCUCAGAACGAACGCUGGCGGCAUGCCUAACACAUGCAAGUCGAACGAGGGCUUCGGCCCUAGUGGCGCACGGGUGAGUAACGCGUGGGAACCUGCCCUGUGUACGGAAUAACUCCGGGAAACUGGAGCUAAUACCGUAUGUGUCCUGCGGGACAAAGAUUUAUCGCCAUGGGAUGGGCCCGCGUAGGAUUAGCUUGUUGGUGGGGUAACGGCCUACCAAGGCAACGAUCCUUAGCUGGUCUGAGAGGAUGAUCAGCCACACUGGGACUGAGACACGGCCCAGACUCCUACGGGAGGCAGCAGUGGGGAAUAUUGGACAAUGGGCGCAAGCCUGAUCCAGCAAUGCCGCGUGAGUGAUGAAGGCCUUCGGGUUGUAAAGCUCUUUCGCACGCGACGAUGAUGACGGUAGCGUGGGAAGAAGCCCCGGCUAACUUCGUG
rnacentral:rRNA from 1 species